UGUACACAGCUGUGGGAGCGAAAGGAAGAAGGGGAGAAGAUGGAAAAAUCCUAUUGCACCAGAUGUGGACACAGACUGCAGGAGCUGCAGAUUAUAUUAGAAAUGCAUAAAAAAAACAGGAUCGUCAGACAGCUGAAGGAGAAGCUGUCCGUGCCUGGAUCGCUUCGGCUUUUAUAGGAUUCCCCCUGCGUGUGUCUCUCAGCUGAACUGUCCUGCAGAAUGAAUUCAUGAAAAUAAACAUUAAAAAUGA